rnacentral:sRNA from 1 species
AAGAUGAAACCCUCUUACAGGUUAUGAAGCCCUUGCACUUCUACGAAGCGUUUGAUAACUUGCAAUAAUCCUUUGUUAAAGAACCUCUUAUUCUAUUCCUUUUGAUACCCUGAUACUUGAUAAUCAAAUGCCAGUCAGCACGAGAACAGAACACUAGAACCUACGGGUGCCAGGGGACGAGAACAGAACGCUAGAACCUACGGGUGCCAGGGGACGAGAACAGAACGCUAGAACCUACGGGUGCCAAGGGGACGAGAACAAGAAUGAGAAUUAAAUACCUGCGGCGUUCAGACAACUGGGGUAAUACAAAUACAGGAAGGACGGAUUUGGGCGUUUUCUCCUACAUUUUUUGCAUGUAUUUGCAUGUAUGGGUCUAGUCCCAAAGAGGGAACUAGAUGCCAGAUAUUGUAAUUAAUUUUUAUUGCAGAUUUGAAUGAUUUGGGUGUUUUCAUGGCUGCGUGGGCUAGCUGGCCUGCGUAGCAUGGGGGGGUGUUGGAGGUUCUACACAAGCCCUAUCCCACGUGACCCACAGCAUAUAUUAGCUGCCACUAGAUAGAUAAUAACAACUAAGAUGAAACCCUCUUACAAAAUGGCC